rnacentral:misc_RNA from 1 species
GAUGAAGAACGUAGCGAAAUGCGAUAAGUAAUGUGAAUUGCAGAAUUCAGUGAAUCAUCGAAUCUUUGAACGCACAUUGCGCCCUCUGGUAUUCCGGGGGGCAUGCCUGUUCGAGCGUCAUUAUAACCACUCAAGCUCUCGCUUGGUAUUGGGGUUCGCGGUUUCGCGGCCCCUAAAAUCAGUGGCGGUGCCUGUCGGCUCUACGCGUAGUAAUACUUCUCGCGAUUGAGUUCGAUAGGUCUACUUGCCAGUAACCCCCAAUUUUUCCAGGUUGACCUCGGAUCAGGUAGGGAUACCCGCUGAACUUAAGCAUAUCAAUAAGCGGAGGA